rnacentral:rRNA from 1 species
GAUCAUGGCUCAGGAUGAACGCUGGCGGCGUGCCUAACACAUGCAAGUCGAACGAAGCACCUUACUUGAUUCUUCGGAUGAAGGUCUGGUGACUGAGUGGCGGACGGGUGAGUAACGCGUGGGUAACCUGCCCUGUACAGGGGGAUAACAGCUGGAAACGGCUGCUAAUACCGCAUAAGCGCACGAGGAGACAUCUCCUUGUGUGAAAAACUCCGGUGGUACAGGAUGGGCCCGCGU